GCAUCAGGGGCAGUGGCUUCUCUGGCAGUGUUUGGCAAUGGUAGAACUCACACUGGUGAGCUAUGAAGAUCCGGUGGUUCUAGACUUGCCAACUAUGGCCUGGGAAUAAAGCAGCAAUUUACACG
rnacentral:pre_miRNA from 14 species